rnacentral:rRNA from 1 species
UACAGAGGUCCCAAGCGUUGUUCGGAUUUACUGGGCGUAAAGGGUGCGUAGGCGGUUGGGUAAGUCUGACGUGAAAUCUCCGAGCCUAACUCGGAAACUGCGUUGGAUACUAUCCGGCUAGAGGAAUGGAGGGGAGACUGGAAUACUUGGUGUAGCAGUGAAAUGCGUAGAUAUCAAGUGGAACACCAGUGGCGAAGGCGAGUCUCUGGACAUUUCCUGACGCUGAGGCACGAAAGCUAGGGGAGCAAACGGG